UGCGCCGUUGCCGAGGAUGGUGACGUUCCCAGGCUGCACGCUGCACAUCGCGGUUGAUGCGGAUCUGUCCGUCGACUUUGACCAUCUCCUCUGCCCACCACACGAAGGCUCCAACUGCGUUGGUGUGUCCUCCGUGGCCCCGUCGGUGGCGCAUGCAACGUUGUUUUCGAACCUUCCGCCCCGCACCUGCGUGCGGGGCGUGCGCCAGGUGAACGCCGUCUCGCAGACGGUGGUGCUGCGUUUAGCGUCCGGCGCCGGAGGCGCCGACAGCAAUGGCGCAGUCACGCCUGCAUCGACUUCAGCGCUGGCAAGAAACACGUACGUGGUGGUGGUGCUGGAUGCACAGCAGGUGCCGCAGAUGCUGUCGGCCGCGAUGGCGCGCCGGUGUCCACCGCACUUGAGUGGCGCAGGGCCACUUGGCUGGUACCUCGACGCCGUCGUGGCAGGGUUGCAGCAGGCGAAGGAGGCAGAGGAGAACGACCCAUGUAGCAGUGGCACCGUAUCCGCGUCGACUGACAAGGACGUGAACAGCUCAUGCGCGGACCAGCCUAGCACCACCGCGCGUACGCUCCCAGCUCGACGCCGCGGCGCUGACGGCGAUGCCGUGCACAUGUCGCUCAUUGUUGUGCCGAACGCCACAGCUGCGUUGAGUGGGCUGAACAGCACGAACGUGAAUGUGACAGGCACCGAGGCUGCCGCUCUCUUCAGCGCUGCCGUCGCGUGGAGCGCUACACGACGAGCGAUAAUGGAGGCCAGCGAUGUGGAGGAGCCGCUCGCUGAUCGCAAUGCUUGCAGCGCGGCGGCAAGAAGGUCGCACGCUGUUCCGGUGGAAUUGGACUUGUGCGCCACCGCUGCCCACGCCCAGCAGGCGACGCAGAUGAUCGCCGCACUGGGUAACAAGCUGCUCAAGGCGUGGCCCACCUCUGCGGCGGCUGCCGGUUCUACAUCCCUGUUCGCCAGUGAUUCAGCAAAGGCGAGAAUCGCUGAUGCCGCGGACGUGCGGCGCGACACACAGCGCAAGGUCAUCCCAAGCGACUUUCACGCUCUGUACACCAGCAUGCUCACAGAGGUGUCCUCCUUCUCGGAGCGAAAGACGAUGGCGGCGGUGACAGCCUUCCCCACCAUGUGCCACCUCUUGGAAUACGUAGACAGUAUCGCGGGGUCCGCACCAGGUGCUCAAGAUGGCAGCAGCAGCGGCAGCGGCGGCGACGGCGAUGUGGCCGUGCACGCUCCGUGUGCAGUGUACAGCACUAACUAUGGCGAGCAUCGCUCAUGGAACGUGCUGAAUAGUGCCAUCAUCGAGGCCCUCGUGACGGAGUACGAGCGCUAGAGCUGGGCUGUGGUGGCGUCGACAGGGAGGCGCAUGGGUGUAGCCCCUCACCCCUUCUUCCCCUGCUGCAGUACACCUCUUCCCGCCCCUUUUGCUUUUCUCUCCAGCCUCUCUGCCGAUGUGCAGCAGAGCGGCGUCUCUCCCCCCUCCGCCCGCCGAAC
rnacentral:misc_RNA from 1 species